GCAUUAUACCGUGAAACUGCGAAUGGCUCAUUAAAUCAGUUAUCGUUUAUUUGAUAGUACCUUACUACUUGGAUAACCGUGGUAAUUCUAGAGCUAAUACAUGCUAAAAACCCCGACUUCGGAAGGGGUGUAUUUAUUAGAUAAAAAACCAAUGCCCUUCGGGGCUCUUUGGUGAUUCAUAAUAACUUAACGGAUCGCAUGGCCUUGCGCCGGCGACGGUUCAUUCAAAUUUCUGCCCUAUCAACUUUCGAUGGUAAGGUAUUGGCUUACCAUGGUUUCAACGGGUAACGGGGAAUUAGGGUUCGAUUCCGGAGAGGGAGCCUGAGAAACGGCUACCACAUCCAAGGAAGGCAGCAGGCGCGCAAAUUACCCAAUCCCGACACGGGGAGGUAGUGACAAUAAAUACUGAUACAGGGCUCUUUUGGGUCUUGUAAUCGGAAUGAGUACAAUUUAAACCCCUUAACGAGGAACAAUUGGAGGGCAAGUCUGGUGCCAGCAGCCGCGGUAAUUCCAGCUCCAAUAGCGUAUAUUAAAGUUGUUGCAGUUAAAAAGCUCGUAGUUGAACCUUGGGCCUGGCUGGCCGGUCCGCCUCACCGCGUGUACUGGUCCGGCCGGGCCUUUCCUUCUGGUGAGCCCCAUGCCCUUCACUGGGUGUGUGGGGGAACCAGGACUUUUACUGUGAACAAAUUAGAGUGUUCAAAGCAGGCCUUUGCUCGAAUACAUUAGCAUGGAAUAAUGGAAUAGGACGUGCGGUCCUAUUUUGUUGGUUUCUAGGACCGCCGUAAUGAUUAAUAGGGAUAGUCGGGGGCAUCAGUAUUCAAUUGUCAGAGGUGAAAUUCUUGGAUUUAUUGAAGACUAACUACUGCGAAAGCAUUUGCCAAGGAUGUUUUCAUUAAUCAGUGAACGAAAGUUAGGGGAUCGAAGACGAUCAGAUACCGUCGUAGUCUUAACCGUAAACUAUGCCGACUAGGGAUCGGGCGAUGUUUCUAUCUUGACUCGCUCGGCACCUUACGAGAAAUCAAAG
rnacentral:rRNA from 1 species